rnacentral:tRNA from 1 species
GGGUGAUUAGCUCAGCUGGCUAGAGCACCUGUUUUACACACAGGGGGUCGGGGGUUCAAAUCCCUCAUCACCCACCA